GGUCAAUGAUGACAAUUCUUAAGGCUUGUUUCUCAAAACAUUCGCAGUGGCCGCCUGAGAGCUUUCGCCUUUGCCAGGCUUGAGAGCUUCUGCUGCUUUGAUCCUUCCUUGGAUGUCUGAGACC
rfam:Gossypium raimondii chromosome 8, whole genome shotgun sequence.